rnacentral:rRNA from 1 species
AUUGAACGCUGGCGGCAGGCCUAACACAUGCAAGUCGAGCGGAUGAAGGGAGCUUGCUCCUGGAUUCAGCGGCGGACGGGUGAGUAAUGCCUAGGAAUCUGCCUGGUAGUGGGGGAUAACGUCCGGAAACGGGCGCUAAUACCGCAUACGUCCUGAGGGAGAAAGUGGGGGAUCUUCGGACCUCACGCUAUCAGAUGAGCCUAGGUCGGAUUAGCUAGUUGGUGGGGUAAAGGCCUACCAAGGCGACGAUCCGUAACUGGUCUGAGAGGAUGAUCAGUCAACCUGGAACUGAGACACGGUCCAGACUCCUACGGGAGGCAGCAGUGGGGAAUAUUGGACAAUGGGCGAAAGCCUGAUCCAGCCAUGCCGCGUGUGUGAAGAAGGUCUUCGGAUUUUAAAGCACUUUAAGUUGGGAGGAAGGGCAGUAAGUUAAUACCUUGCUGUUUUGACGUUACCAACAGAAUAAGCACCGGCUAACUUCGUG